rnacentral:rRNA from 1 species
CGGGGUGAGUAACGCGUGGAUAACCUGCCUCACACUGGGGGAUAACAGUUAGAAAUGGCUGCUAAUACCGCAUAAGCGCACAGUACCGCAUGGUACGGUGUGAAAAACCCAGGUGGUGUGAGAUGGAUCCGCGUCUGAUUAGCCAGUUGGCGAGGUAACGGCCCACCAAAGCGACGAUCAGUAGCCGACCUGAGAGGGUGACCGGCCACAUUGGGACUGAGACACGGCCCAA